GUGGGAUCAAGACAACUACAUAUGGUGCAGAUGUCCUUUGUUGAUGAUUUAUUCAUGAGUUUGAGAACAAUAGACCUUACCGAUUAUUCUCUUUUACCCAAUGGCCUCGUUUCCAUGUUAACUUAUUUUAGCAUGUCAGGGGCAGAUAAAGAUUAUAUUCCCAUGUUUUCCUGGACGAAUUUGUUUCUUGCUGUUCUUAGGCUCAAUAACAAACUAAGAAAUUUCCAACCCUUAACCCUACUAAGCACAAAACAUAGUAUUUGACACGAAAACGAGGCCAUUGGGUAAAAGAGAUUAGUAUAAACCAUUUACCUACUACGCUACUACACAUGUAAAAACGCACAAGUUGUUACAGGUCUGCAAACAAGUUGUUACAAAUCUGUUCACAAGCUGUCGACAAGUUGUGUUCGCACUGCUUGUUCCCAGUUGUUGUAACAAGUUUCAAACAGGUUUGUAUAAAUUCCUCGAAUAGCGCAACAUUGCUCUUCCAAGAAAACCGGAAGAGGUCAACCCAAGUCACCUCAAACCUGUGCUGUGCACUGAUCUAAUAGUAGAUCCACUGUGCUGUUCCUCAAAUCGAAAGCGAUCCAUAAUACGUCAAAAGGCGCCGCCGCUGUACGUACUGCAUUCAAUUUACUGUAUUAAAAUUGUGCUUUCAUAAC